AAUCAACGCUGGCGGCGUGCCUAACACAUGCAAGUCGAACGCGAAAGGGGGCUUCGGCUCCUGAGUAGAGUGGCGUCCGGGUGAGUAACACGUAGGUAAUCUACCUUCGGGUGGGGAAUAACCAGUCGAAAGAUUGGCUAAUACCGCAUAAUGCAGCGGCACCUAAUGGUGAUUAGUUGUUAAAGCGGGGGAUCGUAAGACCUCGCGCCUGAAGAGGAGCCUGCGGCAGAUUAGCUAGUUGGUGAGGUAAUGGCUCACCAAGGCAUCGAUCUGUAGCUGGUCUGAGAGGACGGCCAGCCACACUGGCACUGACACACGGGCCAGACUCCUACGGGAGGCAGCAGUGGGGAAUUUUGGGCAAUGGGCGAAAGCCUGACCCAGCAACGCCGCGUGAGGGAGGAAAUCCUUCGGGAUGUAAACCUCACAAGCAAGGGAAGAGAGCUCAAGGCCGAAUAAGCUUUGAGUCCGACGGUACCUUGCGUAAGCCACGGCU
rnacentral:rRNA from 1 species